GACGAACGCUGGCGGCGUGCCUAAUACAUGCAAGUAGAACGCUGAAGCGAGGAGCUUGCUCUUCUUGGAUGAGUUGCGAACGGGUGAGUAACGCGUAGGUAACCUGCCUUGUAGCGGGGGAUAACUAUUGGAAACGAUAGCUAAUACCGCAUAACAAUGGAUGACACAUGUCAUUUAUUUGAAAGGGGCAAUUGCUCCACUACAAGAUGGACCUGCGUUGUAUUAGCUAGUAGGUGAGGUAAUGGCUCACCUAGGCGACGAUACAUAGCCGACCUGAGAGGGUGAUCGGCCACACUGGGACUGAGACACGGCCCAGACUCCUACGGGAGGCAGCAGUAGGGAAUCUUCGGCAAUGGGGGCAACCCUGACCGAGCAACGCCACGUGAGUGAAGAAGGUUUUCGGAUCGUAAAGCUCUGUUGUAAGUCAAGAACGGGUGUGAGAGUGGAAAGUUCACACUGUGACGGUAGCUUACCAGAAAGGGACGGCUAACUACGUG
rnacentral:rRNA from 1 species